rnacentral:lncRNA from 1 species
AACGAUUCCUCACAUGGCGGCUGGAAGGGCCUUUUCCGACAUCACUACCUUCCUUCGCAACCAAACCGCUCCUCCCACUUCCCAACCUCUCGAUUCUCUCUUCCUCUCUUCUUCCACUGCUUCUUUUCUUGGUCAGUAAUAAUUACCCUCCCUCCUUAUUUUUUACCACUCAUGGACACUGUGUUUGACUUUUUGCUAUUUGAUUCAGGUUCGAGAUCCAUGAUGAGUUUCGAAGGAGAAGGAGGGAAGGGGUGUAAUGGUUCCUUCUUCCGCGCGUUUGACAUAGACGAGAAUGGAGAUGAGUGCAUGGACGAGUACUUUCAUCAGCCUGAGAAGAAGCGCCGUCUCUCUGCCAACCAGGUUCAGUUCCUCGAGAAGAGCUUCGAGGAAGAGAACAAGCUUGAACCCGAGAGAAAAACCAAGUUAGCCAAAGACCUUGGUCUGCAGCCACGACAGGUCGCUAUUUGGUUCCAGAACCGUCGUGCUCGGUGGAGGACCAAACAGCUCGAGAAGGACUACGAGAUUCUGCAUGACAGCUUUGAGAGUCUCAAGGCCAACUACGAAAGCCUCCUCAAGGAGAAAGACAAGUUGAAAUCUGAGGUAAUUAAAUCGAGAACUCAAUUUGGAUCCAAUGAGUAUUUUUCUUUAACUAUUUUUAUAUCGAAAUUGAAGUUUGAUCUUAAUAACAAUCCAUAACUUAAUGUUGGUUUAUUCAUGUAUUGAUACAAAUUGAUGACUCUAUUUUGUGGGCUGACGAGUUAAUUUGUGUGACGUUUUGGUUAAAUCAGGUGGCGCACCUGAGUGAGAAGGUGGUUGCAAGAGAGAAAGAAGAGGGGCAGUUGAAGCAGGGUGAAAGGGGAACGAAGGGGUUGCAGGAACAGGAACAGGAACAGGAUGAGGAAGCACCCCAAAGGCCUAUACUUGAUUCAGUUUCGGAGGGUGAAGGAUCGAAAGUUUCUUGCGUUGUUGGGGGUUGCAAACAGGAAGAUAUCAGUUCAGCCAGGAGUGACAUUUUGGACUCCGAUAGCCCGCAUUACACGGAUGGAGUUCACUCAGCAGUGCUAGAGCACGGUGAUUCUUCUUAUGUGUUUGAGCCUGAUCAAUCAGACAUGUCACAAGAUGAAGAAGACAACCUCAGCAAGAGUCUGUACCCUUCCUACCUCUUUCCCAAACUUGAAGAUGCCGAUUACUCCGACCCCACGGAAAGUUCUUGUAAUUUUGGAUUCUCGGAGGAAGAUCAUGCCCUUUGGAACUGGGAGUACUAAGUUUUCUCCCAUCUUUCUGUGUCUGUGCCGUGUGUAGUGUUUAUUUAGUAUUUGCACUUUUAGUCAAGACUUCAUAAAUGGCCAAUAAGUCAGAUCAAUCACUAUAGCUUUAUUAGGAUAGAGAUGGUGGUUUUUGCCGCAUUUUGCUACUUGUAAUGAAACUGUUGGUUCCAAUGUAAUUAAAUAAUGCUUUCCUGUUGAGAAUGUAAAUCUGGAUUUAGUUUAAUGAAGCAAUUUAAAUUGAAAAGCUGAAGAAAUGGGAGAGACAAAAUUAUAAUAAGAAAUCCAAACAUAGCUC